GAUGAACGCUAGCGGCAGGCCUAAUACAUGCAAGUCGAACGAGAUUAAGAGGCUUGCUUCUUAUGAAAGUGGCGCACGGGUGCGUAACGCGUAUGCAACCUACCUUAAUCAGGGGGAUAGCCCGAAGAAAUUCGGAUUAAGACCGCAUAAAAACACAGGAUAGCAUUAUCCAAUGUUCAAAUAUUUAUAGGAUUAAGAUGGGCAUGCGUGUCAUUAGCUAGUUGGCGGGGUAACGGCCCACCAAGGCGACGAUGACUAGGGGAUCUGAGAGGAUGACCCCCCACACUGGUACUGAGGCACGGACCAGACUCCUACGGGAGGCAGCAGUAAGGAAUAUUGGUCAAUGGAGGGAACUCUGAACCAGCCAUGCCGCGUGCAGGAAGACAGCCCUCUGGGUCGUAAACUGCUUUUAUUCGGGAAUAAACCUUUCUACGUGUAGGAAGCUGAAUGUACCGAAGGAAUAAGGAUCGGCUAACUCCGUG
rnacentral:rRNA from 1 species